CCCGCUCCUUUGGCAGCUCCGCGGCCCUUCCGCAUUCCUGGCCCGCUGGGCGCGGCUGGGCCGGGCGCUGGAAUUUGACCCGAGCGGGCCGCGAUCAGCGGAGGAUUUGGGGUACCCUUUGACCCAGGCGGGGCGCGAUCCGCCGAGGAUUUGGGGUCGCCUGGCGCCGAACCCUGAGUUGCCAGAUUUAGCAAGUAAAAGUACAGUUCUUCUAAAUUUGAGUUUCAGACAAGACAGGGUUUAGGGUUCUUCCCAUGUAAUGUUGAGAAGGUGAGGGCGGCGCCUGGGCGGAUUCUUUUCCGCUCCAGAAUCCCUUUCUCUUUUCAAACCGCAUUCCAGCCCGAGUUAAAUCCUUUAACCUACUCCUCUCUGCUUACCCUCAUAAGGUUUACGGCCGUAUGAGGCUACGGCCACAGCAUAUGGCUGUUUCAUUCCUCUUUUAGCCACAAGAAAGUUUUAUUCAAACUACUUUCUUUCCUUUAUCAAGAAAAUGGCAACGCACACACAUACAUGCACACACAAAGAAAAACACGAAGCGGCUGGGUGCGGUGGCUCACGCCUGUAAUCCCAGCUCCUCACGGAGGCAGAGGCGGGAGGAUAGCUUGAGCCCAGGAGUUCGAGACCUGCCUGGGCAAUAUAGCGAGACCCCGUUCUCCACAAAAAGGAAGAAGGAAACACAAAAAGAAAAACACGAAGCUGCGUUUCUCAGGUUUUGUUCUAGAUCAUGUUUGUGGCUGUGUUCUUCAAGAUCUUUUCCCUCACCUUGAGUAAAUGAAAAACAAGUUGCAAACUCAUCACAACUCUAAAAUGCAUGUGGAUAAACAUUGGAGAAGUCACAAUUCCUGCUAUUUGAGCAGACACAGAGAAAUCUAGACUAAAAAGAUAUAGGGACGUGGAAGAUGGAAGAGCAAGUGAAAAUGGAGUAAGCAGCACGGGGAAAACUGGGCAUUUCUUCCAUGUGGGAUUAGCUACAACAAUCGCUUUAUGGACAGAAAAGGAUUUCCCUCAUCUACCUUUCUUUGAAGAUUUGACUAAAACCAACAAAGGCCCAGUAUGGUAAAUAAGAAGUUUAAACAAGU